rnacentral:tRNA from 1 species
UGGGGUUUCGGCUCAGUGGUAGAGCACUUUCCUAUCAUGUGUGAGGCACUGAGUUAGAUUCUCAGCACCACAU